GGCGGCGCCCUUCUCAGCACUGCUAUGAUGAGUGUUUAUGUUUUAGACCUAGAAGUGAAUAACCAUCGAAAGACGGGGGAGGGAGGGAAGGAGCAAAAACAAAUGGGAGUGCCAUCAAACGUCCAUACCGACCAGCAAAACUAUUCGGCCAAACAGAACCUCGAAGACAUCAAAGCAGUGUUGACGUCCAUGCCACUCGUAUAUAUCAAAAACCCAACAUAACCAACACCCUGUACGGCAGUGCUGAACAACUGAAGAAAACAGCACACUUUUUUUCCUUGGCACAGUCUGCAAAAGAGCUCACAGCUCAGCAGCAAUAAAGCUGGCUAGAAGAAGAAGAAGAAUCUACUAUUUUAAAAUUUAAUGUUGCAUUCAGUCUAUUAAUAAAUUAUCUAGGAUUUUUUUGUUGCAUAAAUCUUAUCUAAAUUACAUCUAAAUUAUUCCAAAUUUAUAUUCUAGAUCUAGUAGAUAUAGAUCUUAAGAGUGCUAAAUCAGAAGUUUAGUUUAUGUAGAUCUACAUCCUUAUUCUAGUUCCGUUUAAAUGAAAAUGCCAAAAGCUCUGUUGAUAACUGUGCUGAGACAUCGAAGUACAAGCACGAUAUAUAUGUUCUUUUCUUUUUUUUUUCAAUUACAAAUCCAUGCCAAAAGAUUAUCUAAAAUCUCUCGUCUGACAUAUUGUACAUAUCCGGUAGAUGCCAUGCCGUAAUGUGUAAUAUAUCUCUUUAUCAAUAAUAGGCUAUUAGUUUGUAACUAGUUUGUUAUUAAGAUGAGAGCAAUGCCUGGUCAAGCGGUUAGCGUGCUGAACUGAUUAUCUCAACGGUCCCGGGUUUGUUUGUUUUACAUGUUUCGGAUGUUCCUUCAGAGUUGAACAUAGUUUACUUCCUAGUCCAAACCUCCCGCAGGACGACGGGGGAUGGGAGCGGGCAGGGUUUGAGCCAGGGACCAUCGAUAAAUCCUAACGACAGUCCAUCACGCAAACUGCACGACCAGGCAGGGUUCAUACCCUGCUCACUGCCAUCCUCCGUUGUCCAGCGAGAAAUUAAUUAUUUUUAACUUGGAACAUCCAAAACAUGUAAAACAGACAAAAAAAUUUUUUUUUUUUACAACGGCAAAUGAAUCUCUGAAACAUGAUUACCUUUGACACUCAAAAUUAAAUAUCGUCUUGAAUAUUCCACACAAACUCUCUUUGUAAUCUUUUUUUGUUUUGUUUCAGCUGUUCCCCUAUGCCAUAAAGAGUGUUGGUUAUCUCCUGUCUUUUUUUUUCUUUCUUUUUUUUUUAAAUAGCGUCUGCCUAGUGUAAAUGAAAUCAGGGCAUUCCAAGACUGGCUUAAGAGACUGGCUUAAGAGACUGGCUUAAGAGACUGACUUAAGAGACUGACUUAAGAGACUGGCUUAAGAGACUGACUUAAGAGACUGACUUAAGAGACUGACUUAAGAGUGGGCGUAGAAUCCCGUCCUCCACCGUCAAGAAAAGCCGCCAUUAGUUUUGUCCUUCUGUGUGUCACAUUCAGAUCUUCCAGUUUUGCUCACUCAAAAAGACUUUCUUGUCGAUUAAAAAGCGA